UGGCGGCCGUAGCGCGGUGGUCCCACCUGACCCCAUGCCGAACUCAGAAGUGAAACGCCGUAGCGCCGAUGGUAGUGUGGGGUCUCCCCAUGCGAGAGUAGGGAACU
rnacentral:rRNA from 4 species